AUAAUGGGUCAGCGACUUAUAUUCUGUAGCAAGGUUAACCGAAUAGGGGAGCCGAAGGGAAACCGAGUCUUAACUGGGCGUUAAGUUGCAGGGUAUAGACCCGAAACCCGGUGAUCUAGCCAUGGGCAGGUUGAAGGUUGGGUAACACUAACUGGAGGACCGAACCGACUAAUGUUGAAAAAUUAGCGGAUGACUUGUGGCUGGGGGUGAAAGGCCAAUCAAACCGGGAGAUAGCUGGUUCUCCCCGAAAGCUAUUUAGGUAGCGCCUCGUGAAUUCAUCUCCGGGGGUAGAGCACUGUUUCGGCAAGGGGGUCAUCCCGACUUACCAACCCGAUGCAAACUGCGAAUACCGGAGAAUGUUAUCACGGGAGACACACGGCGGGUGCUAACGUCCGUCGUGAAGAGGGAAACAACCCAGACCGCCAGCUAAGGUCCCAAAGUCAUGGUUAAGUGGGAAACGAUGUGGGAAGGCCCAGACAGCCAGGAUGUUGGCUUAGAAGCAGCCAUCAUUUAAAGAAAGCGUAAUAGCUCACUGGUCGAGUCGGCCUGCGCGGAAGAUGUAACGGGGCUAAACCAUGCACCGAAGCUGCGGCAGCGACGCUGAUGCGUUGUUGGGUAGGGGAGCGUUCUGUAAGCCUGUGAAGGUGUGCUGUGAGGCAUGCUGGAGGUAUCAGAAGUGCGAAUGCUGACAUAAGUAACGAUAAAGCGGGUGAAAAGCCCGCUCGCCGGAAGACCAAGGGUUCCUGUCCAACGUUAAUCGGGGCAGGGUGAGUCGACCCCUAAGGCGAGGCCGAAAGGCGUAGUCGAUGGGAAACAGGUUAAUAUUCCUGUACUUGGUGUUACUGCGAAGGGGGGACGGAGAAGGCUAUGUUGGCCGGGCGACGGUUGUCCCGGUUUAAGCGUGUAGGCUGGUUUUCCAGGCAAAUCCGGAAAACUAAGGCUGAGGCGUGAUGACGAGGCACUACGGUGCUGAAGCAACAAAUGCCCUGCUUCCAGGAAAAGCCUCUAAGCAUCAGGUAACAUCAAAUCGUACCCCAAACCGACACAGGUGGUCAGGUAGAGAAUACCAAGGCGCUUGAGAGAACUCGGGUGAAGGAACUAGGCAAAAUGGUGCCGUAACUUCGGGAGAAGGCACGCUGAUAUGUAGGUGAAGUCCCUCGCGGAUGGAGCUGAAAUCAGUCGAAGAUACCAGCUGGCUGCAACUGUUUAUUAAAAACACAGCACUGUGCAAACACGAAAGUGGACGUAUACGGUGUGACGCCUGCCCGGUGCCGGAAGGUUAAUUGAUGGGGUCAGCGCAAGCGAAGCUCUUGAUCGAAGCCCCGGUAAACGGCGGCCGUAACUAUAACGGUCCUAAGGUAGCGAAAUUCCUUGUCGGGUAAGUUCCGACCUGCACGAAUGGCGUAAUGAUGGCCAGGCUGUCUCCACCCGAGACUCAGUGAAAUUGAACUCGCUGUGAAGAUGCAGUGUACCCGCGGCAAGACGGAAAGACCCCGUGAACCUUUACUAUAGCUUGACACUGAACAUUGAGCCUUGAUGUGUAGGAUAGGUGGGAGGCUUUGAAGUGUGGACGCCAGUCUGCAUGGAGCCGACCUUGAAAUACCACCCUUUAAUGUUUGAUGUUCUAACGUUGACCCGUAAUCCGGGUUGCGGACAGUGUCUGGUGGGUAGUUUGACUGGGGCGGUCUCCUCCUAAAGAGUAACGGAGGAGCACGAAGGUUGGCUAAUCCUGGUCGGACAUCAGGAGGUUAGUGCAAUGGCAUAAGCCAGCUUGACUGCGAGCGUGACGGCGCGAGCAGGUGCGAAAGCAGGUCAUAGUGAUCCGGUGGUUCUGAAUGGAAGGGCCAUCGCUCAACGGAUAAAAGGUACUCCGGGGAUAACAGGCUGAUACCGCCCAAGAGUUCAUAUCGACGGCGGUGUUUGGCACCUCGAUGUCGGCUCAUCACAUCCUGGGGCUGAAGUAGGUCCCAAGGGUAUGGCUGUUCGCCAUUUAAAGUGGUACGCGAGCUGGGUUUAGAACGUCGUGAGACAGUUCGGUCCCUAUCUGCCGUGGGCGCUGGAGAACUGAGGGGGGCUGCUCCUAGUACGAGAGGACCGGAGUGGACGCAUCACUGGUGUUCGGGUUGUCAUGCCAAUGGCACUGCCCGGUAGCUAAAUGCGGAAGAGAUAAGUGCUGAAAGCAUCUAAGCACGAAACUUGCCCCGAGAUGAGUUCUCCCUGACUCCUUGAGAGUCCUGAAGGAACGUUGAAGACGACGACGUUGAUAGGCCGGAUGUGUAAGCGCAGCGAUGCGUUGAGCUAACCGGUACUAAUGAACCGUGAGGCUUAACCUUACAACGCCGAAGGUGUUU
rnacentral:rRNA from 1 species